CUUAGCCACCCACUGAAUAUGUCCUGAGAUGCUCCGUGGUUUCAACUGAUUCCAGCUGAGAAAAGCCAUGAUGAGGGGGAAGCGCGCAGGUGUUUGGAGGGGAGCGACGCAAGACGGGAGGAGGAGACAGCGCAUGCUCCGGGAGGUCAGGACUGGAAUUAAUACGGCUAAAUAGCACAGAGCGAAGGAUCGCUAUAGUCCUCCCAUCUCAGAAGACCUGAUUGGUUCCUUCAAAUCUCUCUACUUUAAGGAAUAAUAAAAAUAUAAUAGUGUGGUAAUAAUUGGAUAAUAGUAGAUGGUGUGUCCUUGCAACCAGCCUAGGAACCAAGGAGCCUACUUAGUCUCUGGAGGAAGCAGAUGAAGAGUGAUAGAAAGGGGAGAAACAUGCCCACUCCACAAAAAUGGAAACUGUGGCUAUCCUGGGGUUUGCAGAGUGGACCCAGCGAAGAAAAAUUAGGCAUCGAGGGAACGUAACAAGAGAGGGCCGGGGAAGAAAUCCUUCAGGCCGUGAUAGAAACAGACAAAUCAGAAAACAAAGGAGAGACGAAAACGGAAGCAGGAUGUCAGGUCGAGAGCCGGAACGUCUCAUCGUUCAGAAGCCGAAGUUGCCCUGGGAGGAGUUUCGUUCUAUUGAAUUGCUAGGGCCCAGUGUCAGGGAAGUGGGCAGUUUCUGCGUUCAGACCUCCUGGGGGGGACCCCAGCUCUUCUACCAUCUGCUAACAAGAUCGUGGAUGUGCCCUUCAGUCUCUCUGAGCCUGAGUUUUCCCACUGGAAGGAUGGGGCUGGGAUAAUAGUGGACUUCGCUGGAUUAAAAUGUGAGAAAUCUAGGUAAAGCCCCGAGCACAGGGUCAGGGCCACAGUAAACAGUCAAUCAAUGAUAGUUUUCCCCACCAUGAUGUCUUAAAUUUGCCAUAAAGGUAAUUGGUAUUCUCUUUCAUAAUUUCAAACCAUUUUUCCAGCCCAAGUUUCGGAUUGCCUGGCAUGGGCUAAAAAUCAUUUUCAAUGCUCCCAGAAUCUUUAUGAGUUUUCUCAGAAUAGUAAAGUUAAAAAUAAUAACAUUAGCUUAUAUUUUGAUGGCAUUUUAUAACUUUUAAAUUCGACAUGAGCGGCACAAUAGUUCUCAUUUUCCAGGUCUCAUAGUUCAGGAUUAUAAGACUCAGAGAGGUUAAUUUACUCACCGAAGGUCACCCAGCAUGUGGAUGGAGAGAGGAACUGACCUUGACUCUCCCGACAUCAUGCUUGGUUCUCUGCAACCACUGUUGUCACGUGCACAGACGUCUGCGUGAGCCAACAUCGUACCGCAUGGUAAAGCAGCCGUGAGAACUUGGAAACCGGUCCAACUUGGAGGAAUCUCAUUAUCACUUCUCGAAGCUUUACCCUGACUGCAUUUUAAGUUGUAUAAUUUUUCUGGAACUGGAUCUCAGAUGGAUGCUGGUUAUUGGCAAGUACGGUAUCUCACUCGCGUGGAAUUUUCCUCCUAACAUGAUUCAACCUGUAUUAAAAGACUAGAGAAAAAGGAAAAACAAAAAGCCUUCAAAUGAAAGGCAUUUAGCGACUCUCCUGGUGUUUGACUUAUAAAAAUAACGGCAAUGAUUCAUUCAGUAAAUUCAUUAUCUAAUUCCUUCAAGACCCAAGGAUUGGACCUCUCGGUUGGUCUCUGGUUCUCCAUGGAGCCCCUUGCCUCUUUUUAACCACAGCUGAAAUAAAUUACUAGGCUUCUGUUAUGGGCCA
rnacentral:lncRNA from 1 species